rnacentral:rRNA from 1 species
GACGAACGCUGGCGGCGUGCUUAACACAUGCAAGUCGAACGGUGAAGCGCUUGCCUUUUUGGUGGGUGUGGAUGAGUGGCGAACGGGUGAGUAACACGUGAGUAACCUGCCCUCUUCUUCUGGAUAACCUCAUGAAAGUGGGGCUAAUACGGGGUAUUCCGGGUCUGUCGCAUGGCGGGUUUGGGAAAGAUUGCGCCUUUGGGUGUUUUCGGUGGGGGAUGGGCUCGCGGCCUAUCAGCUUGUUGGUGGGGUGAUGGCCUACCAAGGCGGUGACGGGUAGCCGGACUGAGAGGGUGGACGGCCACACUGGGACUGAGACACGGCCCAGACUCGUGCGGGAGGCAGCAGUGGGGAAUAGUGCACGAUGGGAGCAAGCCUGAUGCAGCGACGCCGCGUGAGGGAUGGAGGCCUUCGGGUUGUGACCCUCUUUCGCCAGUGAAGCAGGCCUGCUCCUGUGUGGGUGGGUUGACGGUAGCUGGAUAAGAAGCGCCGGCUAACUACGUG